rnacentral:rRNA from 1 species
UACAGAGGUCUCGAGCGUUAGGCGGAAUCACUGGGCUUAAAGCGUGUGUAGGCGGAUUGGUAAGUACCUUGUGAAAUCCCACGGCUCAACCGUGGAACUGCUUGGUAUACUGCUUAUCUUGGGCCACUUAGGGGCUACCGGAACAAACGGUGGAGCGGUGAAAUGCGUAGAUAUCGUUUGGAACGCCAAUGGUGAAAACAGGUAGCUGGGAGUGUGCCGACGCUGAGACACGAAAGCCAGGGGAGCGAACGGG